GACAGAGGGUGCAACCGUUGUUCGGAAUUACUGGGCGUAAAGCGCGUGUAGGCGGCCAUCUAAGUCGGUCGUGAAAUCCCACGGCUCAACCGUGGAAGUGCACUCGAAACUGGAUGGCUAGAGUCCUGGAGAGGAAGGUGGAAUGCUUGGUGUAGAGGUGAAAUUCGUAGAUAUCAAGCGGAACACCGGUGGCGAAGGCGGCCUUCUGGACAGUGACUGACGCUGAGACGCGAAAGCGUGGGGAGCAAACAGG
rnacentral:rRNA from 1 species